GGCACCGAACAGGAGAGACAACAUGUGAUGCUCAACGCCCUCAGGGUUUAAAAAAAGAUGUAUUUAAAGAAUCCGAGAAGAACACAGGCCUCUCAGGCAAAGGGGGAUGUAUCGCCCACUAUGUACAGGCGAGGCUGGGGACUCAUGAGGACAGAUGUGGAGCACACGGGGGCAAGGCUCGUGUCCCUCAGCGGUCCCACACACCCAGAUGGUAUUAAUCUCUAAUAACUUCCCCAACAAAGCACCUCCAGGCAUCGGUGGGAGAAAUGCUCGGGGUAGAUGAUGCGUUUUAGCAGCGCUAAGUAUGAAUCAGGAUAUUAAAAAAUUGUGGGAGGGCAAAAGCAAUUUCCCCCUGAAGGGAUUUUAAAAUUACAGCUCUCAGGCUGGAGGGAAGUUUCACCGUACAAUCAGUUUCUUGUCCUCACCUUUCACAAUAAAACGCCCUUUCUCUCCCA